rnacentral:rRNA from 1 species
CUCGUAGGUGGCCAACUAAGUCAGACGUGAAAUCCCCAGGCUCAACCUGGGAACUGCGUCUGAUACUGGAUGGCUUGAAUUCGGGAGAGGGAUGCAGAAUUCCAGGUGUAGCGGUGAAAUGCGUAGAUAUCUGGAGGAAUACCGGUGGCGAAGGCGGCAUCCUGGACCGAGAUUGACACUGAUGGGCGAAAGCUAGGGGAGCAAACG